GUGUUGGUUCUGGCAGCACAUAUACUGAAAGUGGAGCAAUACAGAGAAGAUUAGCAUGGCCCUGUGUGAGAAAGACAUGCAUUCAUGGAGUGUAAUAAAAGAGUAAU